GUCAGUGAGGUGGUUAUUUAAAAGAAGAUCAGCCACCAAUACAAUGACUUCUUAUUCAAUAUCUGAUUGACGACUGAGCAGAAUACAAAAUAUGAAGCCGUCCUGCAACUUCAUCGCCUGUCUGGUGCUUGCCACUUUCUGCUUAGUUAAUGGUGGAUGUGCAUAUUUUUAUGUAUCUAAUUCAUUAUUUUUUUUUCUAGUCAUUAAAUGGAAUGUUAAUUACAGUGUAUUUUACAUCUGUAUUUCUAACUUCAGGGUCCCAGGGUCCCGUUAAGUGCUGCUAUUCUUUUUUUAAUGCAAGAAUUCCAGUAAAGGAGGUUGGGGGUUAUCAUGCUACACAUCUUCAGUGCAACAUUAAUGCUGUUAUUUUCAUCACAAAGGCUCAAAGGGAGAUCUGCACUAACCCGGCUGAGAAAUGGGUUCAGAGACUGAUGAGGUUGGUGGAUGUUCAAAAUAUGAAGCAGAUGACAGAGGGCAGAAUUGGGGACAGCUUGGACACACACAGAUCUAAACCACUUCAUGAGAUGCCAAAAACCAACCAAGCAGUGUCAAAGAAAGCAGAGAUAAUUACAAUGACAGAAAUGCCACUCCAGCAACAAGAUGAAACAACUUCAAUCCUAUACUAUUUUCAGGACUGGACAGAUUUUGACACAACACAGGCAAAUUCAAAAACUGAAUCUGUUUACUUCUGUGUGCGACCAGGGGGAGAAUAACUGGAAUUUAUUCAACAUCUAUGAGACAUCCAAGACACAUAUUUCUUUGCUUUUAGCUGCUUUGCAAGAAAUGUCGAGCACACGAAUGCCACGUCGCGUUGGUCGCAGAUCCACCCCAGCUGGAUCAUCAUUAACACCGGAUCGCUCACAGCUGGAACUCAUCAGAAGGAGAGGCAUAUAAGACAAGCCCACGCCAGAGGAAGAUGAGCUUCAUUCCACUAAUGACUCCCUGCGCUAAUGCUUGUCUCGCCACAGCAGACUCCAGCUCGUGACAAUCCCUCACCCGACUACUCACUGUCCUUCACCUACUUCCCGGAGCACCAGAGCACCUCACCUCGAAGAAGAGCACCGUUUGCACACCUUUCACUUUGUAAAUAAAGCACCCUCCGGGGACUUGUCUGUAAACUUA